rnacentral:lncRNA from 1 species
GGGUCUUCCUUCUCCCCCUCAGACCUGCUCCUCACUUGGGCCUUCUCCUUGCUGUUUCCCCAUCCCUUUUAUCUUCCAAGGGAACCUUCUUGACUACCCUUUUUAGAAUAAUAUCCUCAUCACCUCCCACCACUUUAUCCCAUAAUCCUGUUUUAUUUUCUGUGCAGCUUUUAUCUCUCUGUACAAGCUAUGCAGAAUGCUUGUGAUCCUUUUUAGAGUGACUAGGAGUAAACAUUUAUUUCACCUUGAAGGAAAUGAAUGUUUCAGGAAGAGGCCCAGGAGCUU